rnacentral:rRNA from 1 species
CCUACGGGUGGCUGCAGUGAGGAAUAUUGGUCAAUGGACGAAAGUCUGAACCAGCCAAGCCGCGUGAAGGAUGACUGUACUCUGUGUUGUAAACUUCUUUUUUCUGGGAAUAAAGUCACGGUAGCUUCCUGGCAUGUCUGUACCAUAUACAUAAGCAUCGGCUAACUCCGUGCCAGCAGCCGCGGUAAUACGGAGGGUCCGAGCGUUAUCCGGAUUUAUUGGGUGUAAAGGGAGCGUAGGCGGACGCUUAAGUCAGUGGUGAAAGUUUCGGGCUCAACCGGGUGACUGCAGUUGAAACUGGCUGUCUUGAGUGAAGGAGAGGUAGGCGGAAUGCGGGGUGUAGCGGUGAAAUGCGUAGAUAUCACGAAGAACACCGAUUGCGAAGGCAGCAUACUGGACUUUAACUGACGCUGAGGCUCGAAAGUGUGGGUAUCGAACAGGAUUAGAUACCCCUGUAGUC